GACAGAGGGUGCAAACGUUGUUCGGAAUUACUGGGCGUAAAGCGCGUGUAGGCGGCUUCGCAAGUCGGGUGUGAAAUCCCACGGCUCAACCGUGGAGGUGCAUUCGAAACUGCAAGGCUAGAGUCCUGGAGAGGAAGGUGGAAUGCUUGGUGUAGAGGUGAAAUUCGUAGAUAUCAAGCGGAACACCGGUGGCGAAGGCGACCUUCUGGACAGUGACUGACGCUGAGACGCGAAAGCGUGGGGAGCAAACAGG
rnacentral:rRNA from 1 species